AGUGAACGCUGGCGGUAGGCCUAACACAUGCAAGUCGAACGGCAGCACAGUAAGAGCUUGCCCUUACGGGUGGCGAGUGGCGGACGGGUGAGGAAUACAUCGGAAUCUACUUUUUCGUGGGGGAUAACGUAGGGAAACUUACGCUAAUACCUCAUACGACCUACGGGUGAAAGCAGGGGAUCUUCGCACCUUGCGCGAUUGAAUGAGCCGAUGUCGGAUUAGCUAGUUGGCGAGGUAAAGGCCCACCAAGGCAACGAUCCGUAGCUGGUCUGAGAGGAUGAUCAGCCACACUGGAACUGAGACACGGUCCAGACUCCUACGGGAGGCAGCAGUGGGGAAUAUUGGACAAUGGGCGCAAGCCUGAUCCAGCCAUGCCGCGUGGGUGAAGAAGGCCUUCGGGUUGUAAAGCCCUUUUAUUGGGAAAGAAAAGCAGCAGGUUAAUACCCCGCUGUUCUGACGGUACCCAAAGAAUAAGCACCGGCUAACUUCGUG
rnacentral:rRNA from 1 species